rnacentral:rRNA from 3 species
UGGCGGCCUUAGCGCGGUGGUCCCACCUGACCCCAUGCCGAACUCAGAAGUGAAACGCCGUAGCGCCGAUGGUAGUGUGGGGUCUCCCCAUGCGAGAGUAGGGAACUGC